GUACACGCUGUGACUAGCAUAUCAAUAAGCGGAGGAAAAGAAACCUAACAAGGAUUCCCUCAGUAACGGCGAGUGAAGCGGGAAGAGCUCAAAUUUGAAAUCUUGAAAGGUCACCCUUCACGAAUUGUAGUUUAAAGAAGUGUUUUCUGUUACGAUCGUAAUAUAAGUUCUUUGGAAUAGGACAUCACAGAGGGUGAGAAUCCCGUCUAUGAUUGCGAUUUGUAGCUUUGUGAUACACUUUCAAAGAGUCGGAUUGUUUGGGAAUGCAGUCCAAAACUGGGAGGUAAAUUUCAUUCUAAAGCUAAAUAUUGGCGAGAGACCGAUAGCGAACAAGUACCGUGAGGGAAAGAUGAAAAGAACUUUGAAAAGAGAGUUAAAUAGUACGUGAAAUUGUCAAAAGGGAAGCUGUUUAACACCAGUGUUGUUUUCUGAAAAUCAACCUCUGUUAGCUUUAUGCAUGUUUGUUUAGACCUAAUCAGCUAUCUUGCAUGUUCUAUUGUUUGCAGUGGUGCACUUUUCAGUUUACAGGUCAACAUCAGUUUUUUUUACCGUAAAAAAGUUAAAGAAAGGUAGCUCAUGGCUCCGGUCGUGAGUGUUAUAGUCUUUUUCCUAUGCGGUAGGAGAGACUGAGGUCUGCAGUGUAGGCUAUUUGGCUAGAUACUCAGGUGCUAUGUGAUACCAUUUCAUAAACAACUUGUUGAUUAUGUUUUGUCUAUUGCAUACUCGCUUGUACUAUCAUACCUACGCUUAGGAUGUUGACGCAUGAGAUAUACGC
rnacentral:rRNA from 1 species